rnacentral:rRNA from 1 species
ACGCUCGACACCUACGGGAGGCCGCAGUCGGGAAUAUUGCGCAAUGGAGGGAACUCUGACGCAGUGACGCCGCGUAUAGGAAGAAGGUUUUCGGAUUGUAAACUAUUGUCGUUAGGGAAGAGAAAGGACAGUACCUAAGGAGGAAGCUCCGGCUAACUACGUGCAAGCAGCCGCGGUAAUCUGAGCGGGCUGGCAAGGC